AUAUUUAUAUUCUAUAGAAAGGUGAAGACGACCAACGACCAGUGGCAAAAGGGAUAUUAAAUCAAAUAUACAAGGGCAAAUUAUAACUACUGUACUAAAAUUUGUUGAUAUCCGUGCACUUAUGCUCAAACCAAGGCUGUAUUUUUUUUAUACUCUAGAAGCAUCUACAUCUUUCUCCACUCUUCCAAUGAAAAUAAAUAAAUAUCUCAUUUGCAUCAGUUUUCUUAGAUUUUCAAGACUAAAGGUUUAAGACAUUGAGUGUUUCCAGACAGUUCAUCUUGCUGUUGUUUCAAGUUUGUUUAGUCUUUUGAAUCUUUCAGUUUCAGGUGAUUUUGAUAAUAAAAAAAAAUGGUCCAGAAGAUCCAAGCAUGAAAGAUGCAUCUAUUUUUGUCUAAUUUAAAAUAGUAUGUAAAUGUAUGUUAUUAGCACUCCCACAUAUGAAAAUGUUAAAACUAUGUAAGUAUCUCACUUCAACAUUCAGUAGUAUGACAUUCACAUGAAUAUAUAAUGAACAAAUUUGGCAGCUA